CACCAGCUCACAUGGCCACACACUCUGACAAAAAACUGCUUUCUCACAAUUCCACCCCACAAUUGUAAUCCCCAAGGUACUUCCACUCCGCGCAUCGGCAAGGCGCAACCGUUGAUCUUUUUCCAAUUUGAUCCUUCUAUCUCUUACCCCUUCUUUUGAUUCCUUUUCCUUUUUUCCUUUCUCAGUCAACUCGUAAUCUGUAUAUAGGAUAGGACGAGGGCCGUGAAUCGGUAGUACGCGCUUGACAAAUUUCAAGUAUACAACAAGCUGCAGUAAAACCUUUAGUUAUAAUAACUAGCGAUUUCUCAUUUCACACUUCCUUAUCAUAUAUAUAUUAAUAAUUGUAUUUGCGAGCUUCUUAUAAUUGGCUUCAUACCCCCCAUUCCUGCAGCUCUCCUUUAUCAAAUCUAUUAGCAAUCUCUAGCCUUCUACACCCCCUUCUCAAGGUC
rnacentral:sRNA from 1 species